rnacentral:tRNA from 1 species
UCCCUGGUGGUCCAGUGGUUAGGACUUUGCCUUCCAGAGCAGGAGUUUCAGGUUUGAUCCCUGGUUGAGGAA